rnacentral:tRNA from 1 species
GAACGGUGGUGUCGUCGGCAGCGAUGACGUCGCCAUCUUUCAGCGGUGGCGCGGCGCCGUCGCGAGGCAACAGUUCCACAUACUGUUCACCGAUCGCC